rnacentral:rRNA from 1 species
GCCAGCGUUCAUAUCACUCUGCAACUCACAACUAGCAACCCACUGAAGCUAAGCAGGUGUGAGCCUGGUCAGUACCUGGAUGGGAGACUUCCUGGGAAAAAACUAAGGUUGCUGCUGGAA